GGGGCUAUAUCUAAUUAAUUCAUCAAACUAACACAUCAAUUAGUAUCGAAACCUUUAUAGCUGACCUUUCUCUCUUAGGGAUGGGUUCGCACAAAGCAUUAUCAAGAGUGUUCAAACCUCCUCUCCAGCACUGGGUAUCGAGGGAGAGGUUUCAACAUCUAUACCCUCCCCUUAACACACCAAUUAAUAUCGAAACCUUUAUAGCCGACCUCUCUCUCUUAGGGAUGGGUUCGCACAAAGCAUUAUCAAGAGUGUUCAAACCUGCUCUCCAGCACUGGGUAUUGAGGGAGAGGUUUUGAUAUCUAUACCCUCCCCUUAACACACCAAUUGAUAUCAAAACCUUUAUUAGUACUGACUUCUCUCUCUCAGGGAUGGGUUCGCACAAAGCAUUAUCAAGAGUGUUCAAACCUCCUCUCCAGCACUGGAUAUCGAGGGUCAGGUUUCGACAUCUAUACCCUCCCCUUAACACACCAAUUAAUAUCAAAACCUUUAUUACUGACCUCUCUCUCUUAGGGAUGGGUUCGCACAAAGCAUUAUCAAGAGUGUUCAAACCUCCUUUCCAGCACUGGGUAUUGAGGGAGAGGUUUUAACGUCUAUUCCCUUCCUUUAACACCAUAAGUUCCUAGUCCUCUCUCCUCCUAUGACUCCUGUCCACUACCUAACAGGCUAACUAGUUAACUACUGUAAGCGCUGGUUAUACUAAGUUACAAUAGGUGCACCUGACAAUCACCAAAUGUGGGGUACAAGCUUGGUGGAGGGACUUUUUUGGCAGCCAUAGCUGGCUAAAGAAUAGCCUAUCCAGAUAUUUUGUUUUUAUGUAUUAAUGAUCCACGAGACAUCCUAGAGUUAAAUCAAAGUAUGUGCUUAUCUUUGUAUUCACUCAUACACACACUGGUAAUAUUUCUAUGGUGCCUGAUUCACUUGUUUGAGCGAAAUUCUAUUGUGAAAAACAGUCACAUAUUUGUGUCACUGGUAAAAAUGAAACUAGUAAUGAAAGUUUUGCCACCAUGAAACAUACACAAAUAGAUAAAUAUGAAAGCUCACUUAGUCACAAUAAGUGACAUCAUCUGCUUUGCGCAGUAAAAAUAUACUAUUUGUGGUAUCAGACACCCGCAAAAUGGCGUAUGGGCUGACUCUGGUCAGCGGGCAACAGCCUCAACGUUGCCAGAUUGUCGUACUCAGCCGAUUAUAUUUCCCGAUUUAGUACCUGUAAACUGUCUUCUGGGCUCCAAUAACGAAACUAAUUUAUAGUUAUCGUUAAAAGAGUAAGAUCCUGAUGUUUCUUGGCAAUAGUUAGGCGCCAGAAACGGUAAAUACUGUGCUCUGAGUACGACAAUCUGGCAACGGUGCCUAUACGUAUUUUCAUAUUAUUGUUCUCUUGUUUAUUCAAUGUUCUAUUCAAGAAAAAGAAUACCCAUAAUUUUAGUUAGUUUUUGGUUAUAAGGAUUCUUUACGAAAUACAAUUAUAACAUUACCUUCUACUAGUUAGGAAACGUACGGAAUCCUGGAUCGGCUACAGUGAUGUUGGGUGCGCCUAUUAUCAUUCUCGGUCACUCUUUGGAUGGUGUGGAAGUGUCGGAAUACAGGCAACUCUCGAUUUACGCGAGUAUUGUGUCCUUGAAGAGGUCACGUAAAUCAAAAACAAUGUAAAUCAAACAAGAGGUAGGUUUGUACCUUUAUUGCCUACUGUAUCACUGUGACUCCUCUCCCUCUCGUGGUUCCUCCUCUGGCUGCCCUUCCCCUCGUGGUAGCACAGCAGCGAGGGUGUUAUUGUUGAGUAGCGUGGCAGUGUGGGUACUGUAUUGUUGUUCAAGUGGCGCGUGGUAAGAACUGAGCUCAGCUGUGUGGCCGCAGUGCCGUGUGAGUCCAGUUGCGUGAGACAUCUGGCGGCCACUUCAUAAAAUAUUGCGUAUAAGUGAAAAAAAAAAACGUGUAAAUUAAACAUUUAUUUGGAUUUUGGACCCCGCGUUAUUUUAAAAAUGCGUAAACCAAACUCGCGUAAAUCGAGAGUUACCUGUAUAUAUAUCACCACCCUGGUAAGCAGUCUGCCCAAGUCAUUUUUGCUCCUUUUUGGGAAAUCGAAAAAGUCUGUCACUCGUAAACAAUCUGCCCGUCAUUUUUCUGCUUUUGGGGAAAUCAAAAAAACUGUCCCAUUUUCUAAGUCUGCUGUAAACAAACUGCCUAAGUAUAUUUUUUUACGUUGGGGAAAUCGAGAAUAAUAAUAUCAUGUUCUUAUUUUUCACUUACUAGGCUAUUUGUAUAUUCCUCGAGGCAGCCUUUCUUUAACCUUAGGUGCUGCACACUCAUAACACACAAGGGAACGUUUAUGCAAGGGAUGUCGGUAUAAAUGUUUCUUCAUUUCUAUACAUAUUUAUUUCUUCACUCACUGGGCUAUUCAUAUAUUCCUUGAGGCAGCCUUUCUUUAACCUCAGGUGUGCACAGACUGAUACGACACAAGGGAACGUUUAUGCAAGGGAUGUCGAUAUAUAUAUUUCUUCAUUUCUAUACAUAUUUAUUUCUUCACUUACUAGACUAUUCAUAUAUUCCUCGAGGCAGCCUUUCUUUAACCUCAGGCGCUGCACACUCAUACGACACAAGGGAACGUUUAUGCAAGGGAUGUCGAUAUAUAUGUUUCUUCAUUUCUAUACAUAUUUAUUUCUUCACUCACUAGGCUAUUCAGUUAUUCCUCAAGGCACCCUCUCUUCAACCUUAAGUGUUCACAGACUCAUACGACACAAGGGAACGUUUAUGCAAGGGAUGUCGAUAUAUAUGUUUCUUCAUUUCUAUGCAUAUUUAUUUCUUCACUCACUAGGCUAUUCAUAUAUUCCUCGAGGCAGCCUUUCUUUAACCUUAGGUGUGCACAGACUCAUACAACACAAGGGAACGUUUAUGCAAGGGAUGUCGAUAUAUAUGUUUUUUCAUUUCUAUACAUAUUUAUUUCUUCACUCACUAGGCUAUUCAUAUAUUCCUUGAGGCAGCCUUUCUUUAACCUUAGGUGCUGCACAGACUCAUACAACACAAGGGAACAUUAUGCAAGGGCUGUCGGUAUAUUUCCUCCUUCAUUUCUAUACAUAAUUAUAUUUUCGCUCACUAGACUAUUCAUAUAAUCCUCAAGGCAGCCUUUCUUUAACCUUAGGUGCUGCACAGACUGAUACGACACAAGGGAAUGUUUAUGCAAGGGAUUUAUUUAUUAUUAUUAUUAUUUUUUUUUUUUUACAACAAAGGAGGCAGCUCAAGGGCACAAAAAAGGAAACAAUAAUAAAAAAGCCCGCUACUCGCUGCUCCUAAAAAAAAGAAUCAAAAGAGGUGGCCGAAAGAGAUCAAGUUCAGGAUGUCGGUAUAUAUACUAGGCUAUUCUUGAUUGUAUAUUCCGCUAGGCAGCAUUUCUUUAACCUUAGGAGUUUGCAGAGUCAUAUGAUGCAAGGGGACACUCAUACAAAGGCCUGUCGGUAUAUUUAUUUCAUUUAUUUAUUUAUUUUUGCAUUGACUAGGCUAUUCAUGAUUGUAUAUUCCUCUAGUUUCUUAAACCUUAGGAGUUUGCAGAGUCAUAUGAUGCAAGGGGAGACUCAUACGAAGGCCUGUCGGUAUAUUUAUUUCAUUUAUUUAUUUAUUUUUGCAUUUACUAGGCUAUUCUUGAUUGUAUAUUCCUCGAGGCAGCACUUCUAUAACCUUAGGCACUCCACAGACUCAUAUGAUGCAAAGGGAGACUCAUACGAAGGCCUGUCGAUAUAUUUAUUUCAUUUAUUUAUUUAUUUUUCCAUUUACGAGGCUUUUCUUGAUUGUAGACUCCUCGAGGCAGCACUUCUGUAACCUUAGGCACUCCACAGACUCAUAUGAUGCGAGGAAACACUCAUACGAAGGCCUGUCGAUAUAUUUAAUUUUUCACCCACUUAGUUUAGUUCAGGUAACUCUCAAUUUACGCGAGUAUUGUGUCCUUGAAGAGGUCGCGUAAAUCAAAAAUAAUGUUUAUCAAACAAGAGGUAGGUUUGUACCUUUAUUGCCUACUGUAUCACUCUGACUCCUCUCGCUCUCGUGGUUCCUCCUUUGGCUGCCCUUCCCCUCGUGGUAGCACAGCAGCGAGGGUGUUGUUGCUGUAGAGUAGCGUGGCAGCGUGGGUACUGUAUUGUUGUUCAAGUGGCGCGCGGGAAGAACUGAGCUCAGCUGUGUGGCCGCGGCGCCGUGUGAGUCCAGUUGCGUGAGACAUCUGGUGGCCACUCCAUAAAAUAUCGUGUAUAAGUGAAAAAACGUGUAAAUUAAACAUUUAUUUGGAUUUUGGACCCCGCGUUACUUAAAGAACGCGUAAACCAAACUCGCGUAAAUCAAGAGUUACCUGUAUCUCCUUUUUUGGGGUAGGAUUCAUACAAACAUUGAUGCAUUUCUUUCUUUCUUUCCCUCCUUCCUUCCUUCCUUAUUCCUUUUCCUUAUUAUUCCUUCCUUCCUUCCUUCAUUAUUUUAUUCCUAUCCUCUCAUUACUUAUUCCAUCAUUCUCUCCUUCCUUUCAUUAUCCUUUAUUCCCUUUCUCCUCUGUCAGUUAAUUUAUAUCCAUUUCUAGGGUACGAUAUAAACAAACAUUGGCUAUUUCUUAUUAUCAUUUCUACCCUCUUAUUUUACAUUAUUCCUUCCUUCCUUCAUUUAUUCCUAUCCUCUCAUUACUUAUUCCAUCAUUCUCUCCUUCCUUUAAUCCUCCCUCUCAUUACUUAUUCCAUCAUUCUCUCCUUCCUUUAAUCCUCCCUCUCAUUACUUAUUCCAUCAUUCUCUCCUUCCUUUAAUCCUCCCUCUCAUUACUUAUUCCAUCAUUCUCUCCUUCCUUUAAUCCUCCCUCUCAUUACUUAUUCCAUCAUUCUCUCCUUCCUUUAAUCCUCCCUCUCAUUACUUAUUCCAUCAUUCUCUCCUUCCUUUCAUCCUCCUUUAUUCCCUUUCUCCUCUGUCAGUUAAUUUAUAUCCAUUUCUAGGGUACGAUAUAAACAGAACAUUGGCAUAUAUCUUAUCAUUUCUACCCUCUUAUUUUACCAUAGUUUACCAUCUUUCUUUUGGGUUGUGAUCUGUGCAAACACUGAUUCAUUUCUCGGUGAUCAUUGCUACCAUAUCUCCUUAGUUUCCUCCUCUUUGGUUAUGGUUAAUGCAGAUAUCGGCACAUUUAUUUUUGCCAGUGCUACCCUCUUGAUAAUUUAGUAUCUCAAAGUCAAGGGAUGAAGCUCUUUAAAGUUCCUUGGGCUGGCUGGCGUACUUUAGGGUCCCGCUGGGCGAUUUUAUUUUAUUUUUUUCCCUUAUUUUUUUCUUCUAAUUUAGGUCACGAGUAAUUGUUCAUAGGAUUAAAGAAGAAAAAAUGGGUAAAUUCAGUCUUCAAGUGUGUGUGUGUGUGUGUUUUGGUGUACGUAGGGAGGAACAUAUUAUCACUGUUAUUUUUAUUUUACCGUAUGACAUAGAAGAUCAUUAUUUUUUUCCCUACCUCUAAGUCAGGUCAUCAUGGUUAGCGAGUGUUUCCAUGACUAAAAAAAAAGGGAAGGAAGGAUGAAAUGUGUGUGUGACCGUUUGUAUGGGCGUAAGCAGCAGAAACGGCACUGCAUAUUUUUUUCUUUACAUUUUCUAUCUACCGGCAAAUUGGGUCAACCAGGCGAAUGUUGUUUGAGGAGUAAGAUGCAAAGGAAAUUGAAAUGAAAAAAAUAAAGAGUUCGUGUGUGUCUGGUUAAUGGGGUCUUGGCGUGAAGGUGUUCUAUGGUUGCCUACACUUAAGAGUUCAAUUCAGUUACGUAAUGUUUUGAGCAAGGCAGGAAAGGAAAAAGAAAGAAGAAUGUAAAAAGUGCGUGAGUGUGUCUGGUUAAUGGGGUUUUGGCAUGAAGGUGUUCGAUGAUUGCCUACACUCAAGAGGUCAGUUCAGUUCAGUUAUGUAAAGUUUCAAGCAAGGCAGGAAAGGAAAAAGAAAGAAGAAUGUAAAAAGUGCGUGAGUGUGUCUGGUUAAUGGGGUUUUGGCAUGAAGGUGUUCGAUGAUUGCCUACACUUAAGAGGUCAGUUCAGUUCAGUUACGUAAAGUUUCGAGUAAGGCAGGAAAGGAAAAAGAAGAAUGUAAGAAGUGUGUGUGUCUGGUUAAUGGGGUUUUGGCAUGAAGGUGUUCGAUGGUUGCCUACACUUAAGAGUUCAGUUCAGUUCAGUUACGUAAUGUUUCGAGUAAGGCAGGAAAGGAAAAAGAAGAAUGUAAGAAGUGUGUGUGUCUGGUUAAUGGGGUCGCGGCGUGAAGGUGUUCGAUGGUUGCCUACACUCAAGAGUUCAGUUCAGUUCAGUUACGUAAUGUUUCGAGCAAGGCAGGAAAGGAAAAAGAAGAAUGUAAAAAGUGUGUGUGUCUGGUUAAUGGGGUCGCGGCAUGAAGGUGUUCGAUGGUUGCCUACACUUAAGAGUUCAGUUCAGUUCAGUUACGUAAAGUUUUGAGCAAGGCAGGAAAGGGAAAAGAAAGAAGAAAGUAAAGAGUUUGUGUGUGUCUGGUUAAUGGGGUCGCGGCAUGAAGGUGUUCGAUGGUUGCCUACACUUAAGAGCUCACUUCAGUUCAGUUACGUAAUGUUUCGAGCAAGGCAGGAAAGGAAAAAGAAAGAAGAAUGUAAAAAGUGUGUGUGUGUCUGGUCAUGGGGUCUCAUAUAUAAGAUUCUCAAUGGUUGUCUAUGCCUAAGAGUUGAGUUUCGUAAUGUUUUGAAUAAGGCGGAAAGGGAAAUGAAAGAAGAAUGUUAAGUGUGUGUGUGUGUGUCUGGUGAUGGGGUCUCAUAUACAAGAUUCUCAGUGGUUGUCUACACAUAAGAGUUGAGUUACGUAAUGUUUCAAAUAAGCUGGAAAGGGAAAAGAAAGGAGAAUGUUAAGAGUGUGUGUGUCUGGUUAAUGGGGUCUUGUCUUGAAGGUUUAUCAUAGUUGUCUAUACAUAAGAGUUUAGUCUCGUAAUGUUUCAAAUAUGGCAAAAAGAAUGUAAGUAAAGAGUUCAUGGAGUCUCGUCAUGAAGGUUUUCUAUGGUUGUAUACGCAUAAGAGUUUAGUCUCAUAAUGUUUCAAGUUAGGCAAGAAGGGAAAAGAGAGGAAGAGUGUAAGUAAGGAGUUCAUGUGUCUGGUUAAGGGGUCUUAGGGACGCUUUCACAGUCACGUUGUUAGUUUUGAUCGUUACCAAUGGCGGAGAUCGACACUAUGAUUUUCCACGUGAAACUGGCCUAUGGGGUAGUGGCGACUGCAAGAGGAAGCGAGAGGUGUUGAGAGUGUGUGGCAAGGUGCGGGACUAGGCUAACCCCGCAGCCGCCACUACCCCAUCGGCCAGUUUUACGUGGAAAUACUAUAGCGCGAUCGCCGCCAUUGGUAACGAUCAAGACAAACAAAGUGACUGAAAGCGGCCAUUAGUAUUCAAACUGACCCUCACACUUUACGAAUGACAUGUUCCUAAAAUAAUAAAAACAAGAAGAAGCAGUUUUCUGGUGUUUGUUAAUUGAAUGGUUAAAAAGGAAGAAAAUAAUAAAACAGACUAGGCUAACAAUACACCUGACCUCCACUUUACGAAUGAAUUACGCCCUUGAAGAAAACGCCGCAAGACAUAAAGUUAGAUGAGGAAAAAAGAGGAAAAGGUAAACCAAUAACCUGGCCUUUAAAUAUUCGUUGUGGAAAAUGAGAAAGGAGAGAAAAAUGAAGAUGAUAAGGAACAUAUGUGAGUGAAAAGAUUAUGAAAUGCUAAAAUUGGAAGUCAGAAUAUGGAAAAAAAAAAAAGUUUGGAAUUUUGUCGUACUUCAACCGAGCAAAGAUCAGUGAAAAGCAAUCUCCGUUAAACCCAAUCUAAGUUACGUAAGCAUUCAUAAAGUGGAGGUCACCCAUAAUCUAUAUUCUAAGGUAACUCAUUAUGUGUAAGAUAUCAAUUAAGAGGAAAAAAUGCUCAUCAUUACUGUAAAAAGAGGCUGAACGUUAGGCUAUGCAAGGCCAGGUAGACGUCAGGUAGCCUAGCCAAAGUAUAUAGAUGUAAUAAUAUCGUAAUAAACGCCUGUAUCCGCAAGCCUACGAAAUCUCGAGCUGUACGUAUAGAAUUAGGUCUAUAGGCGAACUUCCCGAGCUUACGAUACAAUUAGGUCUCUCGUCACGGCAGCUUUCGUUUAGUUAGUCUACGUAGAUCCCGAGUGUGCGCGCAUGUGUGUGUGUGCUACGGUGCUGUUACGACGCACUGCGAUGUACUACUAUUCCUGCACGUCCAAUAAACUGUACACCACACCCCAAGUUGGUUUCCGUUCACUCUUCGACACUUAACCUGUCCGCUGCGAUUGGCACGGAUUUGGCCUUCACUGGUAGCCUGGUAACAUACACUUCCAGGUCUUUCUCUGCCUCUGCGGUGGAUAGUGGAGUGUUUCCCAUGUGGUAUUGGUGUGCUGGAUAUCCCUUCACUGGUAGCCUGGUAACAUACACUCCCAGGUCUUUCUCUGCCUCUGUGGUGGAUAGUGGAGUGUUUCCCAUGUGGUAUUGGUGUGCUGGAUAUCCCUUCACUGGUAGCCUGGUAACAUACACUCCCAGGUCUUUCUCUGCCUCUGUGGUGGAUAGUGGAGUGUUUCCCAUGUGGUAUUGGUGUGCUGGAUAUCCCUUCACUGGUAGCCUGGUAACAUACACUCCCAGGUCUUUCUCUGCCUCUGUGGUGGAUAGUGGAGUGUUUC